rnacentral:rRNA from 1 species
UACGUAGGGUGCUAGCGUUGUCCGGAUUCAUUGGGCGUAAAGAGCGUGUAGGCGGCCCGGUAAGUCCGCUGUGAAAGUCGGGGGCUCAACCCUCGAAUGCCGGUGGAUACUGUCGAGCUAGAGUGCGGAAGAGGCGAGUGGAAUUCCUGGUGUAGCGGUGAAAUGCGCAGAUAUCAGGAGGAACACCAAUUGCGAAGGCAGCUCGCUGGGACGUAACUGACGCUGAGACGCGAAAGCGUGGGGAGCAAACAGG